ACAGCUGCUGCAUGUUGGACCUGAAGCUGAGCAUCAUGGGAAGAAAAACAAGUCAACACUUUUACUGUGAAAAUGCUGCAACAAGAACAGACUGAAGGUGCUUGUCUAGGGAGGCGGAGCGCACUAAUUGGCCGCCGAUACAGGUGUCAGCAGAGGCCGAUUAAAGCCAAAAUAAAAGGAGCCUGGAUGGAAGGAGGGGAGAGGAA